rnacentral:rRNA from 1 species
UACGGAGGGUGCAAGCAUUAAUCGGAUUUAUUGGGCGUAAAGGGCGCGUAGGCGGGUUUUCAAGUUUAGUGUGAAAUUCCGAAGCUCAACUUCGGAGCUGCACUGAAGACUGGAAGUCUUGAGGAUUGGCGGAGAAAAUGGAAUUCCACGUGUAGCGGUGAAAUGCGUAGAUAUGUGGAAGAACACCGGUGGCGAAGGCGAUUUUCUAGCUUAUUCCUGACGCUGAGGCGCGAGAGCAAGGGGAGCAAACAGG